UUUGGGGUCACAGUUGAAGUUGGACAGAAAUUGAGGGGUUUGAAUAUAAAUUUCAGAAAAAUUCCAUUCAUCUUCUUCGCAGACUUCUGCAACUUCCGCAGACCCGACAGUAAACAUACCAGCAUGGUUGCCAAUGAUUUAGUUCAAAUUCAGUCUUGGCCAUUCUCAAAAGAAAAUAAAACCCACACAAACUCCCUUUUCACAUAAUCUCAUGACAUAAUUCGAAUUCACACCAAAAGACAUCAAGUAAAAGGGAAACAAAUGCCAAAUAAACAGAUGCCAAACAAAAUAAGCAGGGACUGGCCGAACGUAUGCAAAUAGGAAAUCAAUUCGUCCUUUCAAACCGUGCCCUCAGUUGGGCAUUUCAUCAAACAGAAAAUAGGCAUCAAAAUUCCAGCAAUUUCUUACUCAAAUGAAGUCGCGGUCUCUCGAUGAAAUGUGCAGGCAGUAAUGGAGGACUCUGACGAAGUGGUGGAGCCAACAGCAGCAGUGGCAGCGGCGACAACGGCUUGUUCUUGCCAAACGGACGAGGCAUGGCCUUUCCUUUGCUCUGAGGCUUUUUGCAGCCGUACUCCUCUGCUCUUCUCCGCCGCCGCGGUUGUCGCCUGAGGCCUGGGACCACCGAAAGAUUCCACAGUACUACUUAAGCUGCUAGAAGUGGGCCGCUGAAGGUAAGUUUUCUCUUAGCUUGACGCGGACAGAGACGGCGGUAAGGGGAAGAGCUGUGGUGGAUAUGAUGGGAAGGCGUAAUUGGUCAUCGUGGCGAUGACCAACUGCGAAUGUUCAGGCGAUGACAUGGAAAUUAAUGGCAAGAAUUCUGGCUUAUUUAGGAAAUCAUGAUCAAGGACUUAUUUGAGAGAAUUUUGAUGGAUCGGGUGGGGAGGAUUGGGAAUUUUUGAACCGUUUAGGAUUUUGGGUUUCAAUCUUUUCUUCUCCUCUCCGUGGCUCUUCUUCCUCUUGCUCUUUUGUCUCUGUUUUUCAGCUGAAACUCCUAAAGCCUCUGCCUUUCAUUCCUUUCUUUCCCCUUUUUUCUUUUCUGUGUUUCUCCGCCCUGUUUUGCUCAGCCGCCCCUAGCCUUCUUUCUCUGUUUUUUUGUUUUUUUUGUUCCUGCCUGCUUUUCCUCUGUUUUUUUUCUGUUUUGCUCCGCCGCCCUCUACUCUUUCUCACGGUGUUUUUCUUUCUUUUUUUUU
rnacentral:lncRNA from 1 species